UGCGUAGGCGGAAAAUUAAGUCAGUGGUGAAAUCCCAGAGCUCAACUCUGGAACUGCCAUUGAUACUGAUAUUCUUGAAUGUAGUUGAGGUAGGCGGAAUGUGUAAUGUAGCGGUGAAAUGCUUAGAUAUUACACAGAACACCGAUUGCGAAGGCAGCUUACUAAACUAUGAUUGACGCUGAGGCACGAAAGCGUGGGGAGCGAACAGGAUUAGAUACCCUGGUAGUCCU
rnacentral:rRNA from 1 species